rnacentral:lncRNA from 1 species
UAAAAAACCCUUAAGAACCGACUACUAUUUAGUAGUUUUUGUAACCGGUACUAUUUAGUAGUUUUUGUAACCGGUUUCUUAAAAAAAAAGUGGGUCCUAUGCAGGGUCUACAUGCUAAAAAACCCUCUAGUAUACCCGGAUAAAGAUGCUCUAAGUAAUCAUUUGAUUGGGGUAUACCAGUGGCAGGUUGUUACACAUUGGUUACAUACAUGAGUUUGUAUAUUGCCAUAUAUAGUGGAAAAAAUAUUAGUAUAUGGAAGCAGCAAUCCCUAUGCAAAGUCAAAAAUGUUGCAUGAAAUUAGCAAAAUAUUCCGGUGAAGAAAAGAUGUGAUGGGUUUGGUGUAUGUAACAGACUUGCAUCCCACACAUUACCUUUCCUUAGCCCCAAAAUGAUGUUGAAUUAUAUCCACUUGAGAUUUAUUCUUAUUAUCUUUAACCCACU